AUGGGAACGCAGCGGCAGCCCACACCACAGCCAGGGCCUGAUGAGAAAACAUUAGCAGGAGGAGGAGCGAGGGAGUUUGGGGAGAGGCUGCGGAGGGAAGGGGGGUCCCGCACCCGCUGCCCACCGCAGCCCUUCCUCCCCAGACACUCCGAUGUGCUCAGCUGCCCCCCGGGCAAGGCAAAGCCACAUCCACGCUCCCAGGGGGGCACGUGGGAGACAAAGGCACCUGCAGCAGGACGAGGAGGUGGCCAUCCCACGGGCACCCCACCGUGCCACAGCUUGAGAGCGCGUGGGGAGCAUGCCUGGGGAGGCUGCGCCUGCCGGCCCCCGGGCAGGGUCUGCAGAGCUGGGGCACUGGGGAGGGAUGAGUGCCCCAAGGAGCCCAGCACAGGCUGGCAUCACUCCCACUGCAGCCACACCAGGGGGAAUGACCAGUAUUUGGGGGGACGGAGCCAUGGGGAGAACAUCGCUGGGGGAGCAAGGAAAACAAGCCCAACCCCAAAGGACAUUCACAGAGCCACCGCAGAUGAGGAGCGAGAACAUCCAUCAAGCAGGAGGAUCCCGUGCAACCCCACAAGGCCCCGAGCGCUGCCCUGCUCCCUCCACCAUCCCCCAAAUUUUCCUUCAAACCAAACUUCCCCUUGCACGGCAAGGCUGCAGCGUGUGUGUGUGCAUGUGUUUUCAACCCAGUCUUUAAAUGAGGUCUUUGCUGAGAAUUUACAAUUCCCCCAUGGCCUCAAUCUUGCAAAGAUUGCUUUUUUAACACUGUUGGGCUUUAAUUCUAAUAAGCCUCCUCUUUAUUACGGAACCAGGUCACAUUGCCUUGACACUGCAAGAAAAUCUUUCAUCGGGAGGGAAAACAGAGAAGGGAAAAAAAGAAAGAAAGGAAGGGAGGGAGGAGGACGAAAGGCGACACAAACAAACAGGAGCUGUUCACUUCAGCUGGGGGACUUUCUGAAGCAGCAGAAGCCGGCGGCGGCCCAGCCGCAGGGCUGCGAGGAGCGAGGUGCCUUCCCGCAGCGCCGCCGCACGCCCCAGCUCCCGGAAUUAUUUCUGGUGCGGCUUCACCUCCCACGCACCCUCCCACCCUCCGCUGCUUAA
rnacentral:lncRNA from 1 species